rnacentral:tRNA from 1 species
AGCCCGGUAGCUCAAGCAGGGGAGCGCCGCUCUUACAAAGCGGAGGGUGACGGUGCAAGUCCGUCCCGGGUGACCA